rnacentral:rRNA from 1 species
UACGUAGGGUGCGAGCGUUGUCCGGAAUUACUGGGCGUAAAGAGCUCGUAGGCGGUCUGUCGCGUCUGCUGUGAAAACUCAGGGCUUAACCCUGGGCUUGCAGUGGGUACGGGCAGACUAGAGUGUGGUAGGGGAGACUGGAAUUCCUGGUGUAGCGGUGAAAUGCGCAGAUAUCAGGAGGAACACCGAUGGCGAAGGCAGGUCUCUGGGCAUUAACUGACGCUGA